rnacentral:rRNA from 1 species
UACGUAGGGGGCAAGCGUUGUCCGGAUUUAUUGGGCGUAAAGAGCGUGUAGGCGGCUUUGCAAGUCCGUUGUGAAAACUCGAGGCUCAACCUCGAGACGCCGGUGGAAACUGCAAAGCUAGAGUCCGGAAGAGGAGAGUGGAAUUCCUGGUGUAGCGGUGAAAUGCGCAGAUAUCAGGAAGAACACCCGUGGCGAAGGCGGCUCUCUGGGACGGUACUGACGCUGAGGCGCGACAGCGUGGGGAGCAAACAGG